GACGAACGCUGGCGGCGUGCUUAACACAUGCAAGUCGAACGGAAAGGCCCUGCUUGCAGGGUACUCGAGUGGCGAACGGGUGAGUAACACGUGGGUGAUCUGCCCUGCACUUCGGGAUAAGCUUGGGAAACUGGGUCUAAUACCGGAUAGGAACCAUCUUUAGUGUGGUGGUUGGAAAGUUUUUUCGGUGUAGGAUGAGCUCGCGGCCUAUCAGCUUGUUGGUGGGGUAAUGGCCUACCAAGGCGGCGACGGGUAGCCGGCCUGAGAGGGUGUACGGCCACAUUGGGACUGAGAUACGGCCCAGACUCCUACGGGAGGCAGCAGUGGGGAAUAUUGCACAAUGGGCGCAAGCCUGAUGCAGCGACGCCGCGUGGGGGAUGGAGGCCUUCGGGUUGUAAACUCCUUUCGCUAGGGACGAAGCUUUUUGUGACGGUACCUAGAUAAGAAGCACCGGCUAACUACGUG
rnacentral:rRNA from 1 species